AACACGCCAUAAUCCGAUAGACUCUGACUUUUCCUCCAGCAGGCAGCCUGGCUUCUGGGACUCUAACGGGACCUAGAGAUGCCUCCUCCAGCCUUAGGCCAAGCGAAUACCAGCUCAUUCCUAAGAUAAGGAUCCUGAUGCCAUCUGCCAGAUCCUGGGGCGGCAAGUGGCAAGCCAGGGAUGAGCCAGAAUUCAGCUGAGAGCAAAGGCUCCACCCUGAGGAUGAGACACUGGAAACAGCUGACAGCAGGGAGGAUUCCCUUUUGCCAUACCAGGUCAACCAAACAGAGGACCUAGAGUUUACCCCAGAACAUCUAGGGAAGAGUUACCCAGCAGAGGAAGUCUCUGAAGAGUUUGGGAGCAAGAGUUGUGAACCACCACAGAGAGGAGGAUAUCAUGUAGGACUCAAAGCAAGAUGGUCACAGAGAAGUUGAAUUCUGGAUGUCAAGGGUCUAUGGCAGCUGCUGACAUCUCACCGAAUUUCAGUGAAGCUCCUGAGUCUCUGUUUCCACUGGCUCACCUCAAAAAGAGGAAUGCUGCAAAAAGGAACCUGGAUAUACCCAAAUCUCUCCCAUCAAG